GGAGAAUUAUGCAGAAAAUAUAUAUUACACCAUAUCAUAUCAAUCGAGGAAAAUAUUUAAUUUGGUAUCUUUUAUCAAAGUAAACUUUUAUGACAUCGCCCAUAUCUAUCCCACCUUUAACAAGUUACAAAAAUAAUAUACAACCUCAUCCAACAAUAUACUCUCUCAAAUCCUAAAGCUAUACCUAAAGUAAGAACUCAAAUGGUUCUAUGCAUGGUAUGAACUAUAAAACCUAUACUAA
rnacentral:lncRNA from 1 species